rnacentral:lncRNA from 1 species
GCAUCCGGCUUCCGCUCUCUGGGGUGUGCUGCUGCUGAUCUUCCGGCAGGCGGCCCGCCAGACCCCCGACCUUCUUCACGGUCGGAUUCGGUAAGUGCACGGCGAUCCCGCAUUGUGCGGCGUGGAAGCCCCUCGUUCGUGCGUGGAUCCUCCAGCCUGAGUGCCCGAGAGACGCUGGACCCACAGCGACCCCAUUUGCUCACCCACACUCAUCCUCACCUGGUCCUGCACCAUUGCAACCGCCCCAAACCACUUGCCUUAUUCUGCACGUUGUGCCCAGUCUACCCUGUUUAUUAGUUUCCUAGGGUAAAUAAAGGUGAUUUCCCUUAGCAUUGCCACCAGAUAAAUCCCAUCAAAUAAAGUUUUAUUGUGAGCGCGUGUGUGUUUUUACAUAACUUAUCACUCUCUAGUAGUUACGGGUCUUUUCUCGAACUUUAACCACAGGUUCCUUCCAACCAUUUUUUUUUUUUUUUAAAGGGCUGGGUGUUCUUCCCGAAAUGAGUUUGGUGAUUAAAAAUCUGCAGCGGGUGGUCCCCAUCAGAAGAGUGCCACUUCGCAGGAAGAUGGAUUUAGUCAGGAGUAUCUUAGGAGUGAAGAAAUUUGACCUGGGGAUCAUCUGUGUUGACAACAAGACUAUUCAGAACAUUAAUAGGAUCUACAGGAAUAAAAAUGUCCCAACUGACGUGCUUUCUUUCUCAUUUCAUGAGGUAAAUAUGUAUACCUCAUAUUUAAAAUAAAUAUAUAUGUAUGUAUAUAUGUUCUUCUCGUACAGCUUACCUUCCUUCCAGAAUAGUUCCUGUUAAUUACAUUACAGAUCUGGUUAUCUUUGAUUUUGAAGUUUUCUGGAAAUGCACUGAAGUCUAGCCUGGUGUGACUGUGCAUGCCUUUAAUCCCAUCUAUCCAAGAGGCAGAGGCAGUCGAAUCUUUGUGAGUUCAAAGCCACCUUUGGUCUGCCUGGUUAGUUUAAGGCCAGACAAAAGCCACAUAAGAAGCCCCUUUCUCAGCCGGGUGGCAGUGGUGGCACACACCUUUAGUCCUAAUGCUUGGGAGGCAGAGAAAAGCAGAUCUCUGAAUUCAAGUCCACCCUGGUGUUACAGAGUGAUUAACAGGACAGCCAGGGCUACAAAGAGAAACUCGGUCCAAAAAAAAAUCCUCUCUAUCUCAAAAACAAGCAAAUAAAAAACAGAAAUGAAGCAAUAUGACAUAGACCCAUUAAGUAUGUCUAGCCCUAAACAUCACAAUUCCUCUAUGCAGGGACCACUCUCACUAACUCAGUGCCCUCAGGAAAUUCAAAUAAGAGUGUCUGCAGUUUUAAGUGUACCUCAGUAGUAAAUGCUUGGACAGAAAAGUAAAAACUGGUAAGCAUUAUCAACAGAUUCCCUUGCGAUAGAUAGCUACAAGGAACCACAUUGUCUAAAUAGCUUCCCCCAUUGUUAGCAGAAGAAAUGGGAAUACUCCUUUUGGGGAAUGAAUUGGUAGUAAAUGGUGCUUCAAAGGAU